rnacentral:rRNA from 1 species
UACGUAGGGAGCUAGCGUUGUUCGGAAUCACUGGGCGUAAAGCGCACGUAGGCGGAUUUGCGCGUCAGGGGUGAAAUCCCGGGGCUCAACCUCGGAACUGCCUUUGAUACAGCAAGUCUUGAGUUCGAGAGAGGUGGGUGGAAUUCCUAGUGUAGAGGUGAAAUUCGUAGAUAUUAGGAAGAACACCGGUGGCGAAGGCGGCCCACUGGCUCGACACUGACGCUGAGGUGCGAAAGCGUGGGGAGCAAACAGG